rnacentral:rRNA from 1 species
UACGUAGGCAGCGAGCGUUGUUCGGAGUUACUGGGCGUAAAGGGUGUGUAGGCGGUUUUCUAAGUUUGGUGUGAAAUCUCCCGGCUCAACCGGGAGGGUGCGCCGAAAACUGGGGGUCUAGAGUGCGGGAUGGGAGAGUAGAAUUCCUGGUGUAGCGGUGAAAUGCGUAGAUAUCAGGAGGAAUACCGGUGGGGUAGACGGCUCUCUGGACCGCCACUGACGCUGAGACACGAAAGCGUGGGUAGCAAACAGG